UGCGUUCCUCGUUAGGCGAGGCUACUAUACGAACACAAGCCACUGCCCGGAAACGUGGAGACACGCCAAUGGGUAGAACAGGUAUGGCCGGCUUAAGGCUUUACCUAACGUGGCUGGGUUUUCCCUACGUCGUAUAGUGCCAAAGCUCAACCAGGGGGAUGUGC
rnacentral:sRNA from 20 species